GCCCUGCUGGGCUGUUUGGGAGGUUGGUGUGCCCAUCCUGUGCCCAUCCAUCCCAGCAGCUCUGGGUGUUUUUGGGAGGUUGGUGUGCCCAUCCAUCCCAGCCCUGCUGGGUGUUUCUGUGCAAGCCCUGUGUACUGGACAGCCAGAGUGGAGAGGAACAUCACACUCCGCUCACAUUUCUCAAGAACCUGUUCUAUCUAGCACCUAGUUUACAGACUGAUACCUGUAGCUGCCCUGUGCAAUUGUUCACCUCGAGUCCUCAGUAAAACAUGUCAGCAAUUAGAGGAAUUUGUAUCGGGGGCACUCCCCUUCAGUCUCAAUUUUUAACAUUUUUCUGCUUGUGAAAUGAUAAAGUACUGUGAGCCUUAAUUUUUAUCCACAAAUAAAAAUAUUAUGUUUGAA